AUUUAUAUAAUAUAAAAAAUAUAUCUAACUUCCAAUUAGAAAAUCUAAUUUAGUAUAAAUA
rnacentral:tRNA from 1 species